AACCGGAAGCGCUUGACAGAUACCUGCGGUUUGGGGCGUUGGCGGGAGCUGCAGAGGUGCUCGGGGGUCUUUCGGGAUGAGCGCCAGGGUCAAGGGCGCCCUCCCAGGGUCGCCCUCCCAGGGUCCCCCGUCAGGCCUGUGCGGUCGUGCCCCGCGGCGGGCGCGCUGGACCAGGGUCCCCUCUUGUUCCCUGAGUCCUGAGGCGAGACGAAGUGUGGCCAGAGGCUCCUGUCUCCACUCUAGUUUUCUGCUUCCUUUUAGAAAAUGAUCAUUUUCUUGGCUGCACGUCUUCAGCUGAACUAGGAGACACCAGGAUCCUUAGAGUCCUGAGAGCGAUGAGCUGUUCUUCCUCUAGUUCUGCAGGUUCUUCAAGUUUUCCAACGGGGCAGGAGAUAACUUUGGCAGCAGAAGGGGAAGACUGGAAGGGAGUGAGACCAAAGGCUAGAAGACUUUAAGAUGCUGUUGCAAUAGCCCAGGAAGUGAUGAGGAGGCAUUCAAGGAGAGAGGACCUGGGAGGACACCGAGGAGGUGGAUGGGAGAGACACUUCCAGGCUAGAAAGGACCACUGCCGGAAAUAGUUAAACGUACAAAGUAGUGUAACGAACCCAUAGACCAUCACCUAGCUUUACUGUUACCUACACGCAGCCGGUUUUCUUCAUCUACAACCUCCCCUACACUCCACUAAAUUAUGU